CCGAGUUCUUCCUCCCCUCUCUGCCCCGACGCGAUCCCGAUCUCCCCUCUCUUCUCUGUUCUCUCUCGCGGGCGAUCGGCGCCGACGGGAGCAAGGCUUCAGCUCCGGCGGUCUUCCUUCUACCGGCAUCGAUCCUUUAGCUCAGAUCUAGCCGAAGCCUUCUCCUUCUCGCUCUAAUCUCUCUGAAGACUCUCACGGGGACGAACCGACGCCGAGCGUGGACGAGUCGACGCCGACGAUCGCCGGUGUAGAUCUAUCUGCGGAGCUUGCCGGAAAUCAAUCAAGGAGGCACGAAUUAUCUUGAUUUCCUCUGCUCAACCCUUCCCCGAUCUUUCUUCUCGUUUCUGCCGACCCUCUCUUCCCCGAUUCGAUCGCCGGCUUGAAGAUGCCCUAGGGUUUCGAAGGUCUCGGGUUUGGAGAGGUUGGUAUCAGGGAGGUGUUGCUUGGAUUAGGGAAGGAAUCAGAUCAGACUCGUGCUAGGUUUUCCCUGGAUUGGAUCUUGGAUCUCCUCUGCCUUGCUAUUGAUUAGGGUACGGGAUUGAAGAGGAGGAGGGAGGUUUGUUUUGUUUUGGUUCCAGCAGCACUUCUUUGGCUGCGGAUCAAGAGCAAAGGUUGGAGAUUGAGGUUGAGGCCAUCGGGAGAUAUUCCAGUCGCUAGCCCCAUUAUCGCG